GGGUUGUGAGGUUAAGCGACUAAGCGUACACGGUGGAUGCCCUGGCAGUCAGAGGCGAUGAAGGGCGUGCUAAUCUGCGAUAAGCGCCGGUAAGGUGAUAUGAACCGUUAUAACCGGCGAUACCCGAAUGGGGAAACCCAGUGUGAUUCGUCACACUAUCAUUAACUGAAUCCAUAGGUUAAUGAGGCGAACCGGGGGAACUGAAACAUCUAAGUACCCCGAGGAAAAGAAAUCAACCGAGAUUCCCCCAGUAGCGGCGAGCGAACGGGGAGGAGCCCAGAGCCUGAAUCAGCAUGUGUGUUAGUGGAAGCGUCUGGAAAGGCGCGCGAUACAGGGUGACAGCCCCGUACACAAAAGCGCAUGUGCUGUGAGCUCGAUGAGUAGGGCGGGACACGUGGUAUCCUGUCUGAAUAUGGGGGGACCAUCCUCCAAGGCUAAAUACUCCUGACUGACCGAUAGUGAACCAGUACCGUGAGGGAAAGGCGAAAAGAACCCCGGCGAGGGGAGUGAAAAAGAACCUGAAACCGUGUACGUACAAGCAGUGGGAGCCCCACCACCAAAGCAUUCUCUGGUGUUGAAGGCCCUGCAAAGCAGCAUCGCGGUGGCGGAGCGUCGUUUGCGACGCCCAACACACAAAACAAGCGGUGAAUGCUUUGGGGUGGGGUGACUGCGUACCUUUUGUAUAAUGGGUCAGCGACUUAUAUUCUGUAGCAAGGUUAACCGAAUAGGGGAGCCGGAGGGAAACCGAGUCUUAAUUGGGCGUUAAGUUGCAGGGUAUAGACCCGAAACCCGGUGAUCUAGCCAUGGGCAGGUUGAAGGUUGGGUAACACUAACUGGAGGACCGAACCGACUAAUGUUGAAAAAUUAGCGGAUGACCUGUGGCUGGGGGUGAAAGGCCAAUCAAACCGGGAGAUAGCUGGUUCUCCCCGAAAGCUAUUUAGGUAGCGCCUCGUGAAUUCAUCUCCGGGGGUAGAGCACUGUUUCGGCUAGGGGGCCAUCCCGGCUUACCAACCCGAUGCAAACUGCGAAUACCGGAGAAUGUUAUCACGGGAGACACACGGCGGGUGCUAACGUCCGUCGUGAAGAGGGAAACAACCCAGACCGCCAGCUAAGGUCCCAAAGUCAUGGUUAAGUGGGAAACGAUGUGGGAAGGCCCAGACAGCCAGGAUGUUGGCUUAGAAGCAGCCAUCAUUUAAAGAAAGCGUAAUAGCUCACUGGUCGAGUCGGCCUGCGCGGAAGAUGUAACGGGGCUAAACCAUGCACCGAAGCUGCGGCAGCGAACGUAUCACCCAAGACAACUUUACGGAGUUGACGAUUGACGGAGCGAAGCGACGUCAAAGCGUUCAUUAAAGUCGAGUUGGCUUAGGGAUACGUUCGUUGGGUAGGGGAGCGUUCUGUAAGCCUGUGAAGGUGUGUCGUGAGGCAUGCUGGAGGUAUCAGAAGUGCGAAUGCUGACAUAAGUAACGAUAAAGCGGGUGAAAAGCCCGCUCGCCGGAAGACCAAGGGUUCCUGUCCAACGUUAAUCGGGGCAGGGUGAGUCGACCCCUAAGGCGAGGCCGAAAGGCGUAGUCGAUGGGAAACGGGUUAAUAUUCCCGUACUUGGUGUUACUGCGAAGGGGGGACGGAGAAGGCUAUGUUGGCCGGGCGACGGUUGUCCCGGUUUAAGCGUGUAGGUGUGUGUUCCAGGUAAAUCCGGUUCACUUUAACACUGAGGCGUGAUGACGAGGCACUACGGUGCUGAAGCAACAAAUGCCCUGCUUCCAGGAAAAGCCUCUAAGCAUCAGGUAACAUCAAAUCGUACCCCAAACCGACACAGGUGGUCAGGUAGAGAAUACCAAGGCGCUUGAGAGAACUCGGGUGAAGGAACUAGGCAAAAUGGUGCCGUAACUUCGGGAGAAGGCACGCUGACACGUAGGUGAAGUGAUUUACUCACGGAGCUGAAGUCAGUCGAAGAUACCAGCUGGCUGCAACUGUUUAUUAAAAACACAGCACUGUGCAAACACGAAAGUGGACGUAUACGGUGUGACGCCUGCCCGGUGCCGGAAGGUUAAUUGAUGGGGUCAGCGCAAGCGAAGCUCCUGAUCGAAGCCCCGGUAAACGGCGGCCGUAACUAUAACGGUCCUAAGGUAGCGAAAUUCCUUGUCGGGUAAGUUCCGACCUGCACGAAUGGCGUAAUGAUGGCCAGGCUGUCUCCACCCGAGACUCAGUGAAAUUGAACUCGCUGUGAAGAUGCAGUGUACCCGCGGCAAGACGGAAAGACCCCGUGAACCUUUACUAUAGCUUGACACUGAACAUUGAGCCUUGAUGUGUAGGAUAGGUGGGAGGCUUUGAAGUGUGGACGCCAGUCUGCAUGGAGCCGACCUUGAAAUACCACCCUUUAAUGUUUGAUGUUCUAACGUGGACCCGUAAUCCGGGUUGCGGACAGUGUCUGGUGGGUAGUUUGACUGGGGCGGUCUCCUCCUAAAGAGUAACGGAGGAGCACGAAGGUUGGCUAAUCCUGGUCGGACAUCAGGAGGUUAGUGCAAUGGCAUAAGCCAGCUUGACUGCGAGCGUGACGGCGCGAGCAGGUGCGAAAGCAGGUCAUAGUGAUCCGGUGGUUCUGAAUGGAAGGGCCAUCGCUCAACGGAUAAAAGGUACUCCGGGGAUAACAGGCUGAUACCGCCCAAGAGUUCAUAUCGACGGCGGUGUUUGGCACCUCGAUGUCGGCUCAUCACAUCCUGGGGCUGAAGUAGGUCCCAAGGGUAUGGCUGUUCGCCAUUUAAAGUGGUACGCGAGCUGGGUUUAGAACGUCGUGAGACAGUUCGGUCCCUAUCUGCCGUGGGCGCUGGAGAACUGAGGGGGGCUGCUCCUAGUACGAGAGGACCGGAGUGGACGCAUCACUGGUGUUCGGGUUGUCAUGCCAAUGGCACUGCCCGGUAGCUAAAUGCGGAAGAGAUAAGUGCUGAAAGCAUCUAAGCACGAAACUUGCCCCGAGAUGAGUUCUCCCUGAGACUUAGAGUCUCCUGAAGGAACGUUGAAGACGACGACGUUGAUAGGCCGGGUGUGUAAGCGCAGCGAUGCGUUGAGCUAACCGGUACUAAUGAACCGUGAGGCUUAACCUUACAACGCCGAAG
rnacentral:rRNA from 1 species